CACACACACUCUGACUGACAGCGGCUCUCAUUGACUGUCUGCAGGCUGGAAACACACGCGUUUGAGUGCCAUACCGAAUAAACCCAAGAAAGAGAAGUUGGAGUCCAGGUUUGCACGUGAAAUACUUGCGCCGGAUUGCUAAUGUUAGCUGUCACUCAGUGAGAUGGAUUCACCAAAAUCUGCAAAAGUGGGUAAAACAGGAGGGCAGGAGAACUCAGAGCAUGAGG